rnacentral:lncRNA from 1 species
AAUCCUUAAGCAGCACUUGAUAUCAGUUGCACUAUAAAGAAGUGCACAAAACAGCCCUGCAACUUUGGAUGAACCGGGAGAGAACUUAUCUUUCAUCCUAUUCCUAUGUAUGUCUCGUACUGGACUCCACUUCAUUGAAGAAGGCAGCAAAUGGAAAGCUUUUAAAUCAGUAACCUAUUGCUGGCUUCUUUGCCUCUUAGCUUCUCAGAAAUCAAACAAAGCACUGAAACAAAAGCAAAAACAAAAAACAAGGAAUUAGCUGCACCUUAUGUUAGAUGUUAAAAGGCAAUAAAGGAAAAGGGCAGCCAAAAAUACCAUCUGCCUCGAUGUUGCCCUUUCCCUUAAAUUUGAGUAUAUAGUCUCAAAUAAAAUCUUGUUUGAUGAAAAAAUUGCGUAAAUUUAUUUUAAUAAUAAAAAAUUAAAUUGAAAUCCAAUCAAACUGAACUAGAACAGAAGAAUCAAUCUGAACUAGAACAGAAGAAUCAAUUAAUGUACUGACUUUGAAUGGAAACAAUAAAAAACAAAUCGAAAUUGUAUUGAAUUUUCGAUUUAGUUUUGGUUUCUAAAUAGAUCCUAUACCAGAAUCGAAACCAAAAUCAGAACCCCACACACCUACAUAAAACUGCACCUACACUUUCAUGGGCGAAGCCUUCUCUUCUCUUCCCCUGCUCUUUCUAGCCCUUUGGAGUGGAUCACAAGAGGCUCGAACAAAAGAGUCGCAACCCAAACCCAGUUGAUUACAAAUGUUGAAUCUUUCUUACAGUUUACAACUCCCCAAUUUCAUCGUCAAAGUUAUGACCUUUUUUUUAAGGAAGGUUUCUCGAGUGGAAAACUGGCCGCACUGUGCAUC